rnacentral:lncRNA from 1 species
UGAAGACUGUCUCAUCAGCCAAAGCAAAAGUGGAGCAUGCACAUGGAAAAUGCACUAAGUGAUAAAUACAACUUGCUUAAAGUCCCACAAACAGAGUAGAGAUCUCAAGGCCACACCUGCAUGGAAGCACAACUGAUUCAUUAACAAGGUUUAACCAAAGUACCUGCCUCUGAAAGCUUUUCCGGCAGAAGCACAAAAGAAAUUACUCUGUCCUCUGACAGAAGGAUCGACGAGGCAGCACCUGGUUUUUGGGACAUUUACCAAGAAGAACGUGAGCGUCUUCGGUCUUCAGGUGUCCUCAAGAUUCAUCAUGUGCUUCAAGGACACAUGCCCCCAUUUCAUUUUUACAGGGAAGUUGCUCAUCUGGCAUGUUACCCCAGCACAGGAAAUUUGUGAUUGAGAAAGAGAGCUACGCUGAGCUAAUCAGGGUUGUCCUGACCCAAAAGACUGCUUAAUGAUGGGAAGAAGCAGUAAUUAGGUGAGAGUUCCCUGUUUGCAGUGCCC